rnacentral:rRNA from 1 species
AGUGAACGCUGGCGGCGUGCUUAACGCAUGCAAGUCGAACGAGAACGGAAUAUAGCUUGCUAUAUUUGUCAGCUAAGUGGCGCACGGGUGAGUAAUGUAUAGAUAGCCUGCCCUUAAGAAAGGAAUAACAGUUGGAAACGACUGCUAAUGCCCUAUAUGUCUUUAAUACAUAAGUAUGCAAGGGAAACGCUUUAGUGCUUAAGGAUGGGUCUGUAUGGUAUCAGCUUGUUGGUGAGGUAAUGGCUCACCAAGGCUAUGACGCCUAACUGGUUUGAGAGGAUGAUCAGUCACACUGGAACUGAGACACGGGCCAGACUCCUACGGGAGGCAGCAGUGGGGAAUAUUGCACAAUGGACGAAAGUCUGAUGCAGCAACGCCGCGUGGAGGAUGACACAUUUCGGUGCGUAAACUCCUUUUAUAUAGGAAGAUAAUGACGGUACUAUAUGAAUAAGCACCGGCUAACUCCGUGCCAGCAGCCGCCGUAC